UUAAAUUCAGGCUUCUUUGUUUUCUGGAAAAAAUAUUUUCUGGGUGUCAGAGGCAUCAUCCUCAAGAACAUGAAAGCCUUGUGGUUCUUCCUCAUUCUGGUGGCAGCUCCCCGAUGUGUCCUGUCCCAGGUGCAGCUGAAGGAAUCGGGACCUGGCCUGGUGAAGCCCUCACAGACCCUGUCCCUCACCUGCUCUGUCUCUGGAUUCUCUUUGUCCAGCUAUGGUAUGAGCUGGAUCCGCCAGGCUCCAGGAAAGGGGCUGGAGUGGGUUGCUGCGAUAACUGGUGGUGGAAGCACAUACUAUAACCCAACUCUUAAGUCCCGAGUCACCAUCACCAAGGACAACUCCAAAGAUGAAGUCUAUUUAAAGCUGAGUGGCCUGAAAUCUGAGGACACAGCCACGUAUUACUGUGCAAGAGACACAGUGAGAGGAAGUCAGGGGGAGCCCAGACACAAACCUCCCCUGAGUGCACAGGAGGGGCUGGGCUGCAGGGGACACUUGGCACCACAAGGGGGCACUCAGGGUCCACUCCUACUAGCAGGUUCAGAGAGGGGCUGGCAGGAGUUUCCUUACCUUGCCUGGAGUUCCCUUUUCUUGCCUCACAUGAAACCCCAUAACAUGUAA